rnacentral:misc_RNA from 1 species
GUAAGUAAAAGUCGUAACAAGGUUUCCGUAGGUGAACCUGCGGAAGGAUCAUUAUUGUAUAACCGAGGUGCGAGCGCUGUCGCUGACCCGAAAGGUCGUGCACGCCCGAGUGCCCUCACACACAUCCAUCUCACCCCUAUGUGCACCACCGCGUGGGUCCCCCUUUGGCUUGUUCGGAGGGGGGCAUACGUUUUCACACAAACUUUGUAUGCAGUGUAGAAUGUAUUUUUUGUUUUUGCGAUCACGCAAUCAAUACAACUUUCAACAACGGAUCUCUUGGCUCUC